UGUUGUUAUGACUGAAUAGGGUGUCUGGUGCCUGCCAUGUGUGCUUUUCAUCUGAAGAUCUCCAAGCACUUAACUAUAAGUUACUGGGCUUCACAAACACUGAGACACAUCUGUAUAAUUAGUCAGGAUUUAUGAGUUACAAGCCACUGGAUGAGCUCAAGGUCCUGGGAAUGGGUGUAUUCCACAGGAGACUGGUUCCCUCUACCGUGUCCUGAAAUCAGAAGACCCAUAGGACAGAGCUGCAGCCUGCUCACAACAUACAUAAUAAGUCAUAAAUGAAUCUUUGCUGCUAUAAGCCACUGAGACUUUUGGGAUUGGUUGUGACUACAGCAAAGCUGACUAAUAAUCAUACCUGGAAAAUGGUAUCAACUUUGAAAGAUCAAGUUUGAAAGCCCUGUGUCUGAUGCAUAAUAAACUUUGAAUUGAAGUUGGUCCUAGACUCUUGGAAAGCUUUGAGGAGCUACCACUGGUUGAGUGCCUGUGAUGUGAGAGGGCUCUUUCACCUAUCAAAUCAUCACAAUAACUAUGCAAGGUGCUAUUAGAUUUUACAGACAAAGAAACUGAAACUCUAAGAGUAACUUACCCAAGGUUUCUCAGAAUAAUCUCAUUGUACAACCCAUAUCUUAUCCAAUAUAAC